UCCUACGGGAGGCAGCAGUGAGGAAUAUUGGUCAAUGGACGCAAGUCUGAACCAGCCAUGCCGCGUGCAGGAAGACGGCUCUAUGAGUUGUAAACUGCUUUUGUACGAGGGUAAACUCACCUACGUGUAGGUGACUGAAAGUAUCGUACGAAUAAGGAUCGGCUAACUCCGUGCCAGCAGCCGCGGUAAUACGGAGGAUUCAAGCGUUAUCCGGAUUUAUUGGGUUUAAAGGGUGCGUAGGCGGUUUGAUAAGUUAGAGGUGAAAUCCCGGGGCUUAACUCCGGAACUGCCUCUAAUACUGUUAGACUAGAGAGUAGUUGCGGUAGGCGGAAUGUAUGGUGUAGCGGUGAAAUGCUUAGAGAUCAUACAGAACACCGAUUGCGAAGGCAGCUUACCAAACUAUAUCUGACGUUGAGGCACGAAAGCGUGGGGAGCAAACAGGAUUAGAUACCCUGGUAGUCCACGCAGUAAACGAUGAUAACUCGUUGUCGGCGAUACACAGUCGGUGACUAAGCGAAAGCGAUAAGUUAUCCACCUGGGGAGUACGUUCGCAAGAAUGAAACUCAAAGGAAUUGACGGGGGCCCGCACAAGCGGAGGAACAUGUGGUUUAAUUCGAUGAUACGCGAGGAACCUUACCCGGGCUUGAAAGUUACUGACGAUUCUGGAAACAGGAUUUCCCUUCGGGGCAGGAAACUAGGUGCUGCAUGGUUGUCGUCAGCUCGUGCCGUGAGGUGUCGGGUUAAGUCCCAUAACGAGCGCAACCCCUACCGUUAGUUGCCAUCAGGUCAAGCUGGGCACUCUGGCGGGACUGCCGGUGUAAGCCGAGAGGAAGGUGGGGAUGACGUCAAAUCAGCACGGCCCUUACG
rnacentral:rRNA from 1 species